rnacentral:rRNA from 1 species
GUCUAUGGCCAUGCCACCCUGAAUGUGCCCGAUGUCAUCUGAUCUCAGAAGCAAAGCAGGGUUGAGGCUGGCUGGUAUUUGGAUGGGAGACCACUUUGGAAUACUAGGUGCUGUAGGCA